GAUGAACGCUGGCGGCGUGCCUAAUACAUGCAAGUCGAGCGAACGGACGAGAAGCUUGCAUCUCUGAUGUUAGCGGCGGACGGGUGAGUAACACGUGGAUAACCUACCUAUAAGACUGGGAUAACUUCGGGAAACCGGAGCUAAUACCGGAUAAUAUUUUGAACCGCAUGGUUCAAAAGUGAAAGACGGUCUUGCUGUCACUUAUAGAUGGAUCCGCGCUGCAUUAGCUAGUUGGUAAGGUAACGGCUUACCAAGGCAACGAUGCAUAGCCGACCUGAGAGGGUGAUCGGCCACACUGGAACUGAGACACGGUCCAGACUCCUACGGGAGGCAGCAGUAGGGAAUCUUCCGCAAUGGGCGAAAGCCUGACGGAGCAACGCCGCGUGAGUGAUGAAGGUCUUCGGAUCGUAAAACUCUGUUAUUAGGGAAGAACAUAUGUGUAAGUAACUGUGCACAUCUUGACGGUACCUAAUCAGAAAGCCACGGCUAACUACGUG
rnacentral:rRNA from 1 species